GACGUAGGGCGCGAGCGUUGUCCGGAUUUGAUUGGGCGUAAAGAGCUCGUAGGCGGCUCGUUGCGUCAACCGUGAAAACCCGGGGCUUACUCGGGCUUGCGGUUGAUACGGGCGGGCUGGAGUUCGGUGAGGGGAGACUGGAAUUCCUGGUGCAGCGGUGAAAUGCGCAGAUAUCAGGAGGAACACCGGUGGCGAAGGCGGGUCUCUGGGCCGAUACUGACGCUGAGGAGCGAAAGCGUGGGGAGCGAACAGG
rnacentral:rRNA from 1 species